ACAUACGACCAUACCCACUGGAGAACUCGGGAUCCCGUCCGCUCUCCCAUAGAUAAGCUGGUGAGGGCUGGAGUAGUAGUCGGAUCGGUGACGACCGGCGAAUGCCCGGUGUUAUAUGUU
rfam:Colletotrichum gloeosporioides Nara gc5 unplaced genomic scaffold scaffold643, whole genome shotgun sequence.